rnacentral:rRNA from 1 species
GGGGCUGAGUAAAGUGGCGAACGGGUGAGUAACGCGUGGGUAAUCUACCCUCAGGUGGGGAAUAACUCGGGGAAACCUGGGCUAAUACCGCAUAACAUCACACUGGUUUCGGCCGGAGUGAUCAAAGGUGGCGCGGUUCGACCGCUGCCGCCGGAGGAUGAGCCCGCGUCCCAUUAGCUUGUUGGUGGGGUAACGGCCUACCAAGGCUCCGAUGGGUAGCCGGCCUGAGAGGGUGUCCGGCCACACUGGAACUGAGACACGGUCCAGACUCCUACGGGAGGCAGCAGUGGGGAAUAUUGGGCAAUGGGCGAAAGCCUGACCCAGCGACGCCGCGUGGGUGAUGAAGGCCCUUGGGUCGUAAAACCCUGUCAUGCGGGACGAAAGCCCGGGCUCUAACAUAGCUCGGGUCUGACGGUACCGCAGGAGGAAGCCCCGGCUAACUCCGUGCCAGCAGCCGCGGUAACACGGAGGGGGCGAGCGUUAUUCGGAAUUAUUGGGCGUAAAGGGCAGGCAGGCGGUCUUGUGUGUCCUCUGUGAAAGCCCUCGGCUCAACCGAGGAAUUGCAGGGGAAACUGCGAGACUUGAGUCCGGGAGAGGCUAGUGGAAUUCCCAGUGUAGCGGUGAAAUGCGUAGAUAUUGGGAGGAACACCAGUGGCGAAGGCGGCUAGCUGGACCGGUACUGACGCUAAACUGCGAAAGCCAGGGGAGCGAACGGGAUUAGAUACCCCGGUAGUCCUGGCUGUAAACGAUGAGCACUUGGUGUGGCGGGUAUCG